rnacentral:rRNA from 1 species
GACGAACGCUGGCGGCGUGCUUAACACAUGCAAGUCGAACGGAAAGGCCCUGCUUUUGUGGGGUGCUCGAGUGGCGAACGGGUGAGUAACACGUGAGUAACCUGCCCUUGACUUUGGGAUAACUUCAGGAAACUGGGGCUAAUACCGGAUAGGAGCUCCUGCUGCAUGGUGGGGGUUGGAAAGUUUCGGCGGUUGGGGAUGGACUCGCGGCUUAUCAGCUUGUUGGUGGGGUAGUGGCUUACCAAGGCUUUGACGGGUAGCCGGCCUGAGAGGGUGACCGGCCACAUUAGGACUGAGAUACGGCCCAGACUCCUACGGGAGGCAGCAGUGGGGAAUAUUGCACAAUGGGCCGAAGCCUGAUGCAGCAACGCCGCGUGCGGGAUGACGGCCUUCGGGUUGUAAACCGCUUUCGCCUGUGACGAAGCGUGAGUGACGGUAAUGGGUAAAGAAGCACCGGCUAACUACGUG